UUUUUAGUCCUAAUUAAUUUUAUUCUGGACACUUUUUAAAUAAACCUAAAGAAUUGGAAAUCCACUAAAAUCGAUUAAAAUCCUUUUAAGUCUGUUAAACUUUUCGGAAAGCCGUGGAAAACUUUCCAAUUUUCUAAAAUUCUUUACCUUUUUUUAAAUCUAAACUAUUUUCGGUAUUUUGAAAAAUACCGUCAAAAUGAAAUAUUUUAAAAUUGAGAUUUUUUAAAUCUUUAAAGUCUUUGGAAAUCUUAUAAAGUCACGUAGACGGUAAAAUUUCUAAAAAAAGACCCAUUAAAAGACUGAAAUCUUGUAAAUUAUAUUGAAAUUUAAAAUAUUUCUUAGAAUUUUGAAUAAUCUUAUGAAAUCAUAACUUUUUCAAAUCUCUUAAAAUUUCUUGAAAUUUUUUAAAAUAUCUCAAAUUCCUACUGAACUUUUCAACUAUCUUAAAAGCUUGAAAAUCCUUCAAAAUCCCUAAAUUUUUUUCAAAAAUUUCAAAAUCCCUUGAAAUCUUUUGAAACAAUUAAAAAAAAAUUCAAAUUUUUUCCCCAAAGUAUUAGAAAAAUAGUUACAUCGUUAAAAAAAAGUGUCAAUAGUGGCGUCUGUCCGAGGCCUGUAGAAAAUUUUUGCUGAUGCUGACAAAUUUUGGGCUAAAUGACCAAAUUUGAUAAAAAAGAACAACAACAAUAUAAUAAACUGAUAAUCAACAGAGCCAGUAUUUUUCGUAACCCUAAGAGAAAUUUACUUUCACAAUUUCUUUAAGAGUAGCUGAGAAAAAGAGAAUAUUUUUCAUAAAAUUUUGGAUUAAAAAAUAUUUCUCUUUUGCUCAGAAAAAUAUCUUGAAAUAUAAAAAUUCGCAAUAAACGUCAGUUGACGUAAAACUCUCUAAAAGUCUGAAUCCCUGUGUCAAAGUGACUUGAAAUUGACUGAAAAUCUGCUCUCUUUAUCGCUCUGUAAACGCUUACAGAAAACGACAGUUAAAAAUUCUUUCCAGUUGCAUUUGCAAGACGGUGAUUUAUUUUUUAUUUUAUAAAACAGACGAAGAAAUUUCAUGAAUUUCAUCAAGAUUUUUAUAAUUUUAUUUUCAAGAUUUUAAUAUCUAUUGCAGAAAAAUGAAGUAUCAGAGUGCACUUUACUUUUUAAUUAUUGAAUCUCACAUUAAAAAUCGCCGUCUGAAAUUUCUAUUCCAUCGCAUUGUCCAAAUGUAGCAUCAAACUUUCAAACACGUAGGAUCUCAAAUUAAAAUUAUUACAUGCGUGCGAUUAUUUUAUAAGAGCGAGAAUCCCCUUUCCUGUCUUUUUAACAUGAGACUUUUCCUAAGUUGUACAGUCCAUAGUCCGAAUCCGGUCGAAAGUUUCAAUCGAAACAAACUUGUUGAAUAUUUUUAUAUACUAUCCUACGUUAAAAUGUAUCCCCAAAGAGUGAUUAAAAAAAAAAUCUUACUCCCUUUUGAUAACUGUAAUUUAACGCCUCCAUCCUAUUCCAAAAUCUGCACUUUAGAGGUGUACACCGCCCAAAACGCUUCUAAAUAGUUUACUACGCCCAAAACGCGCCUGAGAGAUGUACACUCUCUAGGCGCACCGAAGGGGUGUAGACUGCCCAAAAUACACACUAAAGGUGUACACUGUCCAAAAUGCUUUUGAGAGACGUACACCGCUCAAAUGCACCGUAGAGAUGUACACCACCCAUGCGACGUGUAUACUGCACAAGCUGCGUCUAAGAGGUGUACACCGCCCAAAACUCGCCUGAGAGACGUACACCGCCCAAAACUCGCCUGAGAGACGUACAUUGCCCAGAUUCAACGAAGAGGUGUACACCGUCCAGGCGAGAUGUAUACCGCCCAGUCGAGGUGUAUACCGACAAAAACGCACCUGAGAGGUGUGCAUCGCCCAAAUAGUUCAGAUAUAUGUACACCGCCCAGACGAGAUGUUUGCCGCUCAGGUGCUCCGGAUAGGUGUACACCGCCCAAAACAGGAAGUGAAGUGGUAUGGAAUGGAGGCGUCGAAUUCAGGUCUGAAUUGAUGAAAUAUUUUUGGUAAAUUUCAUCGAUUGGAACUUUCGAUCACGUGUAUUAAUUGUGAGUUGAAAAAGAAACAAGCGCAGUACUUAAGAUUGAAAAUGCAUAAGAUGAUUUGCGUUGCUUGUCUCCGCGAAUUCUCGAGAUUAUAGAUCGAUGAAAAAUCCAGAGAUGUGGAAAUAAAACGGCGAUGGCCUCGCUAAAAGAGAACUUUUCGACAAAUCUGUGAUAUAGCGACAGACCUCAAGUUUUGAUACCAAGUCUUUGCGAGGCCAUCCUUGAGGCUGCGAUUGUAGCGACUAGAACGCAAGAAAAAAAAA